UCCGAGUUGACCCCGGCAGUCUUCGAUGAGUCCCCGGCAUAACCCGCUGGCAACAUCGAACGAGGGUUGCGCUCGUUGCGGGACUUAACCCAACAUCUCACGACACGAGCUGACGACAACCAUGCACCACCUGUACACCGACCUUGCGGGGCACCCAUCUCUGGAUGUUUCCGGUGUAUGUCAAGCCUUGGUAAGGUUCUUCGCGUUGCAUCGAAUUAAUCCGCAUGCUCCGCCGCUUGUGCGGGCCCCCGUCAAUUCCUUUGAGUUUUAGCCUUGCGGCCGUACUCCCCAGGCGGGGCACUUAAUGCGUUAGCUGCGGCGCGGACCCCGUGGAAACGGGCCCCACACCUAGUGCCCAACGUUUACGGCAUGGACUAC
rnacentral:misc_RNA from 1 species